rnacentral:rRNA from 1 species
UGGGGGAUAUUGCACAAUGGGGGAAACCCUGAUGCAGCGACGCCGCGUGAGUGAAGAAGUAUUUCGGUAUGUAAAGCUCUAUCAGCAGGAAAGAUAAUGACGGUACCUGACUAAGAAGCACCGGCUAAAUACGUGCCAGCAGCCGCGGUAGUACGUAUGGUGCAAGCGUUAUCCGGAUUUACUGGGUGUAAAGGGAGCGCAGACGGCAUGGCAAGCCAGAUGUGAAAGGUGGGGGCUCAACCCCCAAGCUGCAUUUGGAACUGUCAAGCUAGAGUAUCGGAGAGGUAAGUGGAAUUCCUAGUGUAGCGGUGAAAUGCGUAGAUAUUAGGAGGAACACCAGUGGCGAAGGCGGCUUACUGGACGAUAACUGACGUUGAGGCUCGAAAGCGUGGAGAGCAAACAGGGAUUAGAUACCCUGGGUA